CCUACGGGUGGCUGCAGUGGGGAAUAUUGGGCAAUGGGCGCAAGCCUGACCCAGCAAUGCCGCGUGAGCGAAGAAGUCUUUCGGGUUGUAAACCUCUAUGACAGGGGACGAGCAGAGGACGGUACCCUGUAAGAAACCCCCGGCUAACUCCGUGCAAGAACCCGCGGUAAUCCGUAGGUGGCAAGCGUUGUCCGGAUUAACUGGGUGUAAGGGGCGUGUAGCCGGGAAGGAAAGUCAGAUGUGAAAUCUGGGGGCUCAACCUCGAAAUUGCAUUUGAAACUGUGGUGCUUGAGUACUGGAGAGGCAAGCGGAAUUCCUAGUGUAGCGGUGAAAUGCGUAGAUAUAAGGAGGAACACCAGUGGCGAAGGCGGUCUACUGGACAGCAACUGACGGUGAGGCGCGAAAGCGUGGGGAGCAAACAGGAUUAGAUACCCCAGUAGUC
rnacentral:rRNA from 1 species